AGAGUUGAUCCUGGCUCAGGAUGAACGCUGGCGGCGUGCCUAAUACAUGCAAGUCGAGCGAGAAUCUCCUUGAAGCGUUUCGGACAAUUCUGUGGAGAGGAAAGCGGCGGACGGGUGAGUAACGCGUAGGCAACCUGCCCUUAGCAGAGGGAUAGCCAUUGGAAACGAUGAUUAAAACCUCAUAAUGCCAUUCUUACACAUGUUCGGAUGGCCAAAGAUUUAUCGGCUAAGGAUGGGCCUGCGUCUGAUUAACUAGUUGGUGAGGUAACGGCCCACCAAGGUGACGAUCAGUAGCCGACCUGAGAGGGUGAUCGGCCACAUUGGAACUGAGACACGGUCCAAACUUCUACGGAAGGCAGCAGUAAGGAAUCUUGCACAAUGGGGGAAACCCUGAUGCAGCAACGCCGCGUGAACGAUGAAGGCCCUAGGGUUGUAAAGUUCUGAUCUGUGGGAAGAAGAAAGUGACGGUACCACAGGAGAAAGCCCCGGCUAACUACGUGCCAGCCGCGGC
rnacentral:rRNA from 1 species